rnacentral:lncRNA from 1 species
UCACUCGACCCAGAAAACCCCUCAAAAUCAGGCAAAUCAAGAAUUUCAAAUAGUUGUGUUUCCUGUAAGAACACUCGUGAAACUGCCCAGGCCAACAAGGGUGUGCCUGUACGAAAAGCCACCAAGUAUCUGAAAGAUGUCACUUCACAGAAACAGUGUGUACCAUUCUGACGUUACAAUGGGGGAGUUGGUAGUGCCCAGGCCAAGCAGUGGGGCUGGACACAGGGUUGGUGGCCCAAAAUGAGUGCUGAAUUUUUGCUGCACAUGUUUAUAAAUGCUGAGAGAAAUGCCGAACUUAAGGGUGUAGAUGUAGAUUCUCAGGUCAUUGAGCAUACCCAGGUAAAUAAAGCACCUAAGAUUUGCUACUGGCCUUAUAGAGCUCAUGGUCGGAUUAACCCAUGCAUGUACUCUCCCUGCCACAUCAAGAUGAUCCUUACUGAAAAGGAACAAAUUUUUCCUAAACCUGAAGAGAAGAAAAAAAAGAUAUCUCAAAAGAAACUGAAGAAACAAAAACUUACGGCAUGG